GGCUAACUCCGUGCCAGCAGCCGCGGUAAUACGGAGGGUGCGAGCGUUAAUCGGAAUUACUGGGCGUAAAGCGCAUGCAGGCGGCCUGUUAAGUCAGAUGUGAAAAGCCCGGGGCUUAACCUCGGAAUUGCAUUUGAAACUGGCAGGCUAGAGUCUUGUAGAGGGGGUAGAAUUUCAGGUGUAGCGGUGAAAUGCGUAGAGAUCUGAAGGAAUACCAGUGGCGAAGGCGGCCCCCUGGACAAAGACUGACGCUCAGAUGCGAAAGCGUGGGGAGCAAACAGGAUUAGAUACCCUGGUAG
rnacentral:rRNA from 1 species